rnacentral:rRNA from 1 species
CCCUAGGGGGGUGCUAAUAAUGCAAGUCGAACGCACUCUCGUUAGAUUGAAGAAGCUUGCUUCUGAUUGAUAACAUUUGAGUGAGUGGCGGACGGGUGAGUAACACGUGGGUAACCUGCCCUAAAGUGGGGGAUAACAUUUGGAAACAGAUGCUAAUACCGCAUAAAACCUAGCACCGCAUGGUGCAAGGUUGAAAGAUGGUUUCGGCUAUCACUUUAGGAUGGACCCGCGGUGCAUUAGUUAGUUGGUGAGGUAAAGGCUCACCAAGACCGUGAUGCAUAGCCGACCUGAGAGGGUAAUCGGCCACACUGGGACUGAGACACGGCCCAGACUCCUACGGGAGGCAGCAGUAGGGAAUCUUCCACAAUGGACGAAAGUCUGAUGGAGCAACGCCGCGUGAGUGAAGAAGGUUUUCGGAUCGUAAAACUCUGUUGUUGGAGAAGAACGUAUUUGAUAGUAACUGAUCAGGUAGUGACGGUAUCCAACCAGAAAGCCACGGCUAACUACGUGCCAGCAGCCGCGGUAAUACGUAGGUGGCAAGCGUUGUCCGGAUUUAUUGGGCGUAAAGCGAGCGCAGGCGGUUUCUUAAGUCUGAUGUGAAAGCCUUCGGCUCAACCGAAGAAGUGCAUCGGAAACUGGGAAACUUGAGUGCAGAAGAGGACAGUGGAACUCCAUGUGUAGCGGUGAAAUGCGUAGAUAUAUGGAAGAACACCAGUGGCGAAGGCGGCUGUCUGGUCUGUAACUGACGCUGAGGCUCGAAAGCAUGGGUAGCAAACAGGAUUAGAUACCCUGGUAGUCCAUGCCGUAAACGAUGAGUGCUAGGUGUUGGAGGGUUUCCGCCCUUCAGUGCCGCAGCUAACGCAUUAAGCACUCCGCCUGGAGAGUACGACCGCAAGGUUGAAACUCAAAGGAAUUGACGGGCGCCCGCACAAGCGGUGGAGCAUGUGGUUUAAUUCGAAGCAACGCGAAGAACCUUACCAGGUCUUGACAUCCUUUGACCACUCUAGAGAUAGAGCUUUCCCUUCGGGGACAAAGUGACAGGUGGUGCAUGGUUGUCCUCAGCUCGUGUCGUGAGAUGUUGGGUUAAGUCCCGCAACGAGCGCACCCUUAUUACUAGUUGCCAGCAUUUAGUUGGGCACUCUAGUGAGACUGCCGUGACAACCGGAGGAGGUGGGGACGACUUCAAUCACC